rnacentral:rRNA from 1 species
UACAGAGGUCUCAAGCGUUGUUCGGAUUCAUUGGGCGUAAAGGGUGCGUAGGCGGCGCGGUAAGUCGGGUGUGAAAUCUUGGAGCUUAACUCCGAAACUGCAUUCGAUACUGCCGUGCUUGAGGACUGGAGAGGAGACUGGAAUUUACGGUGUAGCGGUGAAAUGCGUAGAUAUCGUAAGGAAGACCAGUGGCGAAGGCGGGUCUCUGGACAGUUCCUGACGCUGAGGCACGAAGGCCAGGGGGAGCAAACAGGG